rnacentral:lncRNA from 1 species
AUUUAGAAGCCUGCUUAGCUUCAGCUCUCUCUUCUAAACAUUUCCAUGGAAACCAAGGAAGUUCUUGUCCACUAUAUUCAAGAAUUUUAUGAAGUAACAUUGUUAAACUCUCAAAAAAGCUGUGAACAGAAAAUACAAGAAGCAAAUCAAGUUGCAGAGAAAUUAGAAAAGAAAACAUUUCUUGUGUCAACCCAUGAAAGUCUUCAAAAAGCUUCAGCAGAGCUAACAGGUUUCAGUGGAUCAGAGGGAAAUGCUUUAUGUGAUGAACAAAAUAAAGAGAACCAGUGUUUGGAAAAUCAGACUGAUGACAAGAAGAUAAAGCACAACCAAGGAAAAUGCCCAGCCCAGAACUGCUCAGUGGAACCUCCUGCCUGGAUGCCUGUUCACCACUGUACUGUAAGUUUGAGAUUUUUGAUUCCCAGUUUGGUGAAGCAGAAGGCUGAGAGUUCUCAGU